CAAUUUACGCGCUGACUUUUUUCCUCCCUUCAAGAAACUGAGAGAGGGACCACGUGUUGCCAAGAUUGAAAUGUGCGAAUUCAUAAGACACCCCUUACCCUGCUCCUGAAGCACAUGUACAUCCCCGUCACGAGCAGCAGCAGCAGAACGACGGCGGCCGCGGACCCAGCGAUGACUUUGGUUUUUUUUGCCAUUCGCACGAUCGCAACAGGCGACAGACAUUGCUCACCACGCGUAUUCGGCAGAGGCGUCGCUGCGACUGUCGCCGCUCGGCUGCGCGCUGUGGAAGUUGGACAAUUGAUCGUUGACGUUGAGAUCGGAGACGCGACGGUGAUGG